GCUAUUUCUGUAAUUGCAUUUUGAACAGUUGUUUCUCCACUUAUUUUGGGAUGUUCAAGAUUUAACUUCAAGUCCUCCAAACACUCGGGUCCAACAGCAUGGACGCCAGAAACCUGAUGAGAAACAUUCUCAAUCAACAAGGCUUGCUUAGCUAAAGAUAAAGCCAAGUACUGAAAGAUUUCAUUUCUAGCAACAAAGUCAGUCUCGCAAUUAAGCUCAACAAUUGCAGCCCUCCCCUCAUCCUGUGCCAAUGCAAGUAACCCCUCGGCAGCAGUUCGGCCCGACUUCUUCGAGGCCAAAACCUUCCCUCUCUUCCUCAAAUCCUUCUGCGCCUCCUCAAUGUCCCAAUUGCAAUCAAUGAGAGCAGCCUUGACAUCCUUGAUGGGAGCGCUAGUCCGCUCUCUCAACUGCUUAAUGAGAUUCAUCUGCUCUUGUGCCGCAGGAGCUUGAACGCUGAAUCGCCGGAAAAACAUUCCAAAAGCAGAUUCCGAUCUGGUUUUGAUCUCUGCAAGUUGAGAUAUGGGAGUGGACACUGCUUUGCGCGUCCAGGUAGAAUAAUUUUGCCCAGAGAAGCCAAUCCUGGUACUUAGCAUUAUUUGAAGUGGACGCUUUGCACUUCUAGACAAAGCCAUUUCUAUAUGAAUGUGUAUAAAAGCUAGUUGCUAGGGUUUAAGGGUUUUAGAAGAAAGUGGAGCUAGCAGCAAACCAUGCAUAUGAGAUAGAAACUACAAAACCUUCGAAGAAGUGACCUUUAAAAUAAACUUGUAUUGGGUUUGAAGGAGAGUAUGAGGAAGAGGAUGAGUGGUGAUGGUGGGCUUGGGUUAAUGUCGUUGCUGGCGUGGCGGGAGGGUGGCGGCGGCAGCUAUGGUGAGA
rnacentral:misc_RNA from 1 species